UACGAAGGGUGCAAGCGUUACUCGGAAUUACUGGGCGUAAAGCGUGCGUAGGUGGUUUGUUAAGUCUGAUGUGAAAGCCCUGGGCUCAACCUGGGAAUUGCAUUGGAUACUGGCAGGCUAGAGUGCGGUAGAGGGUAGUGGAAUUCCCGGUGUAGCAGUGAAAUGCGUAGAGAUCGGGAGGAACAUCUGUGGCGAAGGCGACUACCUGGACCAGCACUGACACUGAGGCACGAAAGCGUGGGGGAGCAAACAGG
rnacentral:rRNA from 1 species